CGGACGGGUGAGUAAUGUCUGGGAAACUGCCCGAUGGAGGGGGAUAACUACUGGAAACGGUAGCCAAUACCGCAUAACGUCGCAAGACCAAAGAGGGGGACCUUAGGGCCUCUUGCCAUCGGAUGUGCCCAGAUGGGAUUAGCUAGUAGGUGGGGUAAUGGCUCACCUAGGCGACGAUCCCUAGCUGGUCUGAGAGGAUGACCAGCCACACUGGAACUGAGACACGGUCCAG
rnacentral:rRNA from 1 species